GAAAGUGACACGGGGUGCUGCCACCAGGCGGCUGAGAACACACCCGUCGAACCUGAACCGGGUAAUUCCGGCGAAGGGAUGUCGCGUGGUGCGGGC
rnacentral:ncRNA from 1 species